rnacentral:rRNA from 1 species
UCUUGGUCAUUUAGAGGAAGUAAAAGUCGUAACAAGGUCUCCGUUGGUGAACCAGCGGAGGGAUCAUUACUGAGUCUCGACUCUCCUAACCCUUGUGAAUUAUAUAUCUUAAUUACUGCUUCGGUAGGGUUUUUAACCUGCCAGAAGAGUUUUAUAAAUGCUAUAUUAUUUUUAUUAUCUUCUGAGUUUAUUUUUAUAAUAUUAUAAAAACUUUCAGCAACGGAUCUCUUGGCUCUGGCAUCGAUGAAGAACGCAGCGAAAUGCGAUAAGUAAUGCGAAUUGCAGAAUCCAGUGAGUCAUCGAAUUUUUGAACGCAUAUUGCGCCUGCUAGUUUUACUAGUAGGCAUGCCUGUCUGAGCGUUAUUUCUAUACUAUACUUAAUAUUAAGUAUAUGUUGGAGACUGGUUUUUUUAAGUACCACCUUCUAAAUCUAGUGGCAACUAUUGCUUUAUCCUCUAUGUAUUUAAAAUCACAUAAUUGGAAGGCUUUUUAAACUGCCAGAAAUAUAUAUUAUAAGUUUAACCUCAGAUCAGGUAGGAAUACCCGCUGAACUUAAGCAUAUCAAUAAGCGGAGGAA